ACGUCUUCCCUGAUCCGGUCUGGUGGGGACAAAAAAGAAGAAGAAAAGAUCUAUUAAAGCUAUAUAUGCAUCAUGAAGCUGAAACUGAAACCGAUGAGCAUUUGGUGGUUCUGGGAGCACGGAGACACAGUCGACCCCAUCAUCAUCGUGUCACAAACAGCUGGAGCCAAAAAAAUAAAAAGCAGGUAAUUUGUGUUCCAUCCCAGCCCCAGACCACAUGUUGUGCUGCUGGCCUUUUCCGUGUGGCUAGGCCCCCAACUUGGUGGUCCAAGCUUUUUCAGCUCCUUGGCUGCACGGCAUCAAUGGCACAUGGGAUGCGAGCCAAAUGAUUGAGGGAGGGGAGGACCGACCCCGACCGAGGAGAGCAGGCAUGCGUGGUGGUGGCCGACGAAGAGGAUAGAGGAAGCAGCAGGAUGCCAACCUGGCCGUAUGCCAGCACCGUAGC
rnacentral:misc_RNA from 1 species